CAAUAGCGUAUAUUUAAGUUGUUGCAGUUAAAAAGCUCGUAGUUGGAUUUCGGGUGGGAAUGGCCGGUCCGCCGUUUCGGUGUGCACUUGCUACGCCCACCUUGCUGCCGGGGACGUGCUCUUGAGUUCACGCUCGGGACACGGAGUCGGCGAGGUUACUUUGAGUAAAUUAGAGUGUUCAAAGCAGGCCUACGCUCUGAAUACAUUAGCAUGGAAUAACACGAUAGGACUCUGGCCUAUCUUGUUGGUCUGUAGGACCGGAGUAAUGAUUAAGAGGGACAGUCGGGGGCAUUCGUAUUUCAUUGUCAGAGGUGAAAUUCUUGGAUUUAUGAAAGACGAACUACUGCGAAAGCAUUCGCCAUGGAUGUUUUCAUUAA
rnacentral:rRNA from 1 species